rnacentral:rRNA from 1 species
UGGCGGACGGGUGGGUAAUGUCUGGGAAACUGCCCGAUGGAGGGGGAUAACUACUGGAAACGGUAGCUAAUACCGCAUAACGUCGCAAGACCAAAGAGGGGGACCUUAGGGCCUCUUGCCAUCGGAUGUGCCCAGAUGGGAUUAGCUAGUAGGUGGGGUAAUGGCUCACCUAGGCGACGAUCCCUAGCUGGUCUGAGAGGAUGACCAGCCACACUGGAACUGAGACACGGUCCAG